GACGAACGCUGGCGGCGUGCUUAACACAUGCAAGUCGAGCGGUAAGGCCCUUUCGGGGUACGACGAGCGGCGAACGGGUGAGUAACACGUGGGUGACCUGCCUUUAGCUCUGGGAUAAGCCUGGGAAACUGGGUCUAAUACCGGAUAUGACUCCGCGGUGCAUGCUGUGGGGUGGAAAGCCUUGUGCGGCUGGAGAUGGGCCCGCGGCCUAUCAGCUUGUUGGUGGGGUGAGGCCUACCAAGGCGACGACGGGUAGCCGGCCUGAGAGGCGACCGGCCACACUGGGACUGAGACA
rnacentral:rRNA from 1 species